UGCCUCCUGCAUAUCCUUUCUGCCUCCCUACCUCUGGCUCUGGAACCAUGAACUAGAAUCACAUCAACUCUGCCAUUGUCCCUGGAUGAGAUGGGAGGAAAUAAUAAAUUCACUAUACCCAAGAGAGUUCAGCUCGAGAAGGGAUGGGAUGCUCUCCAAAAUGAGGUUUUGAAGGCACAAAUCAAAACAAUUCCAAUAAGAAAGAAGAGUAGGAGGAGUUGUCUAAAGACAUUGCUAUGGAUGCACAUGGAAUUCCUCAACCAAAUUAUGUUUUUGAAAAGUCAUGUGUAGAAGAUGGAAACCAGGGAAGGAUACCCAAGAAGUGGCCAGCCAGGCUUUGCUGAGUGAAGAGGAGUUGACCGCCUCCCAAGACAACAUAUCUGCUUUUGGACAGCUCGAAUCAGUGGCAAAAACUUCCCUUCAACAGCAAAAUGAAAACUCCUUUUUUUCCAACUUCCACCCAUUACUCCUAGAUCUCUCCUUUAAAGCCAAGCAGAAUAAAUAUAAUUCUUUUUCCCCUGGCAGUUUUCAAGCACUUGGAAAAUAGUCAUCCUGUUUGCCUGAAGUCUUUUCUUCUCCUGGCAAAGAGGCCAUUCUCUGCCUCAUUUCUUACCUAGCCUUAAUCACUGAUUGGGCGUUGCCUCAGUGAAACUGAGACCUGUUAAGGUCCUUGGCUUAAAAAGGUUAAGGUCUCCCACUGCAUCCAGGGCCAUCUCCAGUCAUCCUGAUCUAUAUCUUGCCCCUGGAGCCAGAGGGCUCUGGAAGACAAUGUGAGGCUGGUGACUUAGCACAGCCAACCCACACUAAAAUCCAAUUCACUUGCAUGUCAAGGCAUCACCUCCCUGAUGUCAAGGUCUUCUUCGAGAACGAAGAGCAAACAACAACAACAACAGCAAGAGCAACAACAACGAUCUCUUCUCUGAGCUAAACUUGUCCACUUCCUUUAACUGAUCUUCAUAUAACAUAAUCCAAAGGCCUUUUACCAUCAUAGUUGCCUGCCUUUGGAUGCCCUCCAGCAUAUCCAUAUUCUUCCUAAAAUGUCGGGUACCCGAUACUGAGCACAACAGUGCAGAUACGUUGUGGUCACUUUGUCGAAGCCCAGUUUCCUUAUUCACCUGUAAAAUGGGGAUAAUGAUAUUUUCACUGACUACCUCCCAGGAUUAAGGCAGCUAGGAG